rnacentral:rRNA from 1 species
GAUGAACGCUGGCGGAGUGCUUUAGGCAUGCAAGUGGAACGCUCUUUUAGUCGCAAGACUGAAAGAGAGUCGCAGACGGGUGAGUAACACAUCGGAACGUACCCAGUAGUGGGGGAUAACGCAGCGAAAGUUGCGCUAAUACCGCAUACGCUGGAGACAGGAAAGCGGGGGACCCUGUGAGGGGCCUCGUUCUAGUGGAGCGGCCGAUGUCCGAUUAGCUAGUUGGUGGGGUAAAGGCCUACCAAGGCGACGAUCGGUAGCUGGUCUGAGAGGAUGAUCAGCCACACUGGGUACUGAGACACGGACCCGACUCCUACGGGAGGCAGCAGUAAGGAAUAUUGGACAAUGGCCGCAAGGCUGAUCCAGCCAUCCAGCGUGCAGGAAGAAGGCCCUAUGGGUUGUAAACUGCUUUUAUCAGGGAAGAAACCUCUGGAUUUACUCCGGAGCUGACGGUACCUGAAGAAUAAGCACCGGCUAACUCCGUGCCAGCCGCCGCAGUAAAAC